GCUCCGGUAGAGUAGUAGUUAACUCAUUUCCCUCCCAUUCUCUAUGGCAAGGAAGGAAAAGACCCGGGUGCAAAUCCCGGCCGGUGCA